rnacentral:rRNA from 1 species
CCCUUAGAUGUUCUGGGCCGCACGCGCGCUACACUGACGAAGUCAGCGAGCAUGUCCUACGCCGACAGGUGCGGGGAAUCUUGUCAAACUUCGUCGUGAUGGGGAUUGAUUAUUGAAAUUCUUGAUCAUCAACGAGGAAUUCCUAGUAAGCGCAAGUCAGCAGCUUGCGUUGAUUACGUCCCUGCCCUUUGUACACACCGCCCGUCGCUACUACCGAUUGAAUGCUCAGGUGAGCCAUUCGGACUUUCAUCAUGCUGGUUUCCAGUUUUGAUGAAGGAAAGUCUUGCGAACCUUAUCAUUUAGAGGAAGGAGAAGUCGUAACA